rnacentral:lncRNA from 1 species
AACUUCUCUUAAAAUAUUAUAGCAUCGCAUUUAUCUCCAUUGCAAGAAGAUCAUGACUUUGUCUAGAAUGGCUUCCCAAAUAUUUAAUUCAGCCAGGGUGAAAGCUUGAUUUGCGUAACAGAUGCAACAUACCUUCAUUCUAGCAUAGCAGUAAGGAGUCAGCAAGACAAUCUCAUGACAGCUUACAUAAACUAAUAAGAUACAUAAACCUUACGUAACAAAAUUCACGACAAUGCAUUUGAACUAAGAGAAUGGAAAGGAAACAAAAAUAUAUCAAAA